rnacentral:rRNA from 1 species
GAGUUUGAUCCUGGCUCAGGACGAACGCUGGCGGCGUGCCUAAUACAUGCAAGUCGAGCGAGGGUUUUCGGACCCUAGCGGCGGACGGGUGAGUAACACGUAGGCAACCUGCCUCUCAGACCGGGAUAACAUAGGGAAACUUAUGCUAAUACCGGAUAGGUUUUUGGAUUGCAUGAUCCGAAAAGAAAAGAUGGCUUUUGGCUAUCACUGGGAGAUGGGGCCUGCGGCGCAUUAGCUAGUUGGUGGGUAACGGCCUACCAAGCGACGAUGCGUAGCCGACCUGAGAGGGUGACCGGCCACACUGGGACUGAGACACGGCCAGACUCCUACGGGAGGCAGCAGUAGGGAAUUUUCCACAAUGGACGAAAGUCUGAUGGAGCAACGCCGCGUGAACGAUGAAGGUCUUCGGAUUGUAAAGUUCUGUUGUCAGGGACGAACACGUACCGUUCGAAUAGGGCGGUACCUUGACGGUACCUGACGAGAAAGCCACGGCUAACUACGUGCCAGCCG